rnacentral:rRNA from 1 species
UACGUAGGCAGCGAGCGUUGUUCGGAAUUACUGGGCGUAAAGAGUGUGUAGGCGGUGCUCCCAGUCUGUUGUGAAAUCUCCCGGCUUAACUGGGAGGGUGCAGCGGAAACUAGAGUGCUAGAGGGUGGGAGAGGUAAGCGGAAUUCCUGGUGUAGCGGUGAAAUGCGUAGAUAUCAGGAGGAACAUCUGUGGUGUAGACAGCUUACUGGACCACUUCUGACGCUGAGACACGAAAGCGUGGGUAGCAAACAGG